GAUGAACGCUGGCGGCGUGCUUAACACAUGCAAGUCGAGCGGAGCGGUUUCAAUGAAGUUUCGGAUGGAUUUGAGAUUGACUUAGCGGCGGACGGGUGAGUAACGCGUGGGUAACCUGCCUUACACUGGGGGAUAACAGUUAGAAAUGACUGCUAAUACCGCAUAAGCGCACAGGGCCGCAUGGUCUGGUGUGAAAAACUCCGGUGGUGUAAGAUGGACCCGCGUCUGAUUAGGUAGUUGGUGGGGUAACGGCCCACCAAGCCGACGAUCAGUAGCCGACCUGAGAGGGUGACCGGCCACAUUGGGACUGAGACACGGCCCAAACUCCUACGGGAGGCAGCAGUGGGGAAUAUUGGACAAUGGGCGAAAGCCUGAUCCAGCGACGCCGCGUGAGUGAAGAAGUAUUUCGGUAUGUAAAGCUCUAUCAGCAGGGAAGAAAAUGACGGUACCUGACUAAGAAGCCCCGGCUAACUACGUGCCAGCAGCCGCGGUAAUACGUAGGGGGCAAGCGUUAUCCGGAUUUACUGGGUGUAAAGGGAGCGUAGACGGUUAAGCAAGUCUGAAGUGAAAGCCCGGGGCUCAACCCCGGUACUGCUUUGGAAACUGUUUGACUUGAGUGCAGGAGAGGUAAGUGGAAUUCCUAGUGUAGCGGUGAAAUGCGUAGAUAUUAGGAGGAACACCA
rnacentral:rRNA from 1 species